GAAGGGGUAAUUUGGUGCGUGGCGGCUGAAGCAGCAGCGGCUCGUCACCGUUCAAUUUGGUUUUGUGAUUAUGACUGUGGUCCCCACAUGCGUCUUUUAUGGGUCCCGCACGAUUCCCCUCGGGAAGGUCUUCUACAAAUCUACGACAGCGUAAUUUUUUGCGAUUUUUGUUUUUAAUUUUUCAAAAAUAUAUAAACCGACGUCGUUUCUUG